GAUGAACGCUGGCGGCGUGCCUAAUACAUGCAAGUCGAGCGAACGGACGAGAAGCUUGCUUUUCUGAGGUUAGCGGCGGACGGGUGAGUAACACGUGGAUAACCUACCUAUAAGACUGGGAUAACUUCGGGGAACCGGAGCUAAUACCGGAUAAUAUUUUGAACCGCAUGGUUCAAAAGUGAAAGACGGUCUUGCUGUCACUUAUAGAUGGAUCCGCGCUGCAUUAGCUAGUUGGUAAGGUAACGGCUUACCAAGGCAACGAUGCAUAGCCGACCUGAGAGGGUGAUCGGCCACACUGGAACUGAGACACGGUCCAGACUCCUACGGGAGGCAGCAGUAGGGAAUCUUCCGCAAUGGGCGAAAGCCUGACGGAGCAACGCCGCGUGAGUGAUGAAGGUCUUCGGAUCGUAAAACUCUGUUAUUAGGGAAGAACAGAUGUGUAAGUAACUGUGCACAUCUUGACGGUACCUAAUCAGAAAGCCACGGCUAACUACGUG
rnacentral:rRNA from 1 species